rnacentral:rRNA from 1 species
CACGUAGGGUGCGAGCGUUGUCCGGAAUUAUUGGGCGUAAAGAGCUCGUAGGCGGUGUGUCGCGUCGGCCGUGAAAACCUGCAGCUUAACUGUGGGCGUGCGGUCGAUACGGGCAUCACUGGAGUUCGGCAGGGGAGACUGGAAUUCCUGGUGUAGCGGUGAAAUGCGUAGAUAUCUGGAGGAACACCGGUGGCGAAGGCGGCAUCCUGGACCGGCAUUGACGCUGAGGCGCGAAAGCCAGGGGAGCAAACGGG